CACGUAGGGCGCAAGCGUUGUCCGGAAUUAUUGGGCGUAAAGCGCGUGUAGGCGGCUUUGCAAGUCGGGUGUGAAAGCCCUCGGCUCAACCGAGGAAGUGCGCCCGAAACUGCAGAGCUUGAGUACCGGAGAGGAUGGCGGAAUUCCCCAAGUAGAGGUGAAAUUCGUAGAUAUGGGGAGGAACACCGGUGGCGAAGGCGGUUCUCUGGGCCUGUACUGACGCUGAGGAACGAAAGCGUGGGGAGCGAACAGG
rnacentral:rRNA from 1 species